rnacentral:rRNA from 1 species
GACGAACGCUGGCGGCGUGCUUAACACAUGCAAGUCGAACGGAAAGGCCCUUCGGGGUACUCGAGUGGCGAACGGGUGAGUAACACGUGGGUGAUCUGCCCUGCACUUUGGGAUAAGCCUGGGAAACUGGGUCUAAUACCGAAUAGGACCGCGCGCUUCAUGGUGUGUGGUGGAAAGCUUUUGCGGUGUGGGUUGGGCCCGCGGCCUAUCAGCUUGUUGGUGGGGUAAUGGCCUACCAAGGCGACGACGGGUAGCCGGCCUGAGAGGGUGACCGGCCACACUGGGACUGAGAUACGGCCCAGACUCCUACGGGAGGCAGCAGUGGGGAAUAUUGCACAAUGGGCGCAAGCCUGAUGCAGCGACGCCGCGUGAGGGAUGACGGCCUUCGGGUUGUAAACCUCUUUCACCAGGGACGAAGCGCAAGUGACGGUACCUGGAGAAGAAGCACCGGCCAACUACGUG